CAACCUUUGCCUGCAAAUCAUGAUCAGAUUUUGUCACCUGUGAUCAGAUUUAAAUUUUCAGAAAAAUCGGAAAAAAAAUCGGCUAUACAAACCGAAAAUUCGCCGAUAAAUUGCAGUGUCCGGCUAUUUUUUGAAGAUUUCGCCGAUUUUUCGUCUGCAUCCAUUUUUCGGCGAUUUUUUCGCCGAUUUUAACCGAAAUUUGGCGAAAUUUCUCCCAUCGACAUUUCGCCCCCCUCUUUCGUAUCGCCGACCACCGAAACCCGAAAUUUCGGCGAAAAAAAUGGAAACUUUCAUCCUUGUACCCAAUUAUAUAGAUUUGUCUAUUUUGAUUGCUAUCUUCGUUGAUUCCUCUGAAAUCUUGGAUUUUUGGAUCAUCUGUUCAAUUCCUAUUCUUCUCCACUGGGAAUCAUCCAAACAGGGAAAGAGAGGAAGUAAGGAUUUUGCAGAGGGAGAACUAGGUUAGGGUUUUGCCAUGGAUAGUGGAGGCGUAGCGCCACAGCUGUCAGAGGAGGCAACUCAUCAUCUGCAACAAGGCAUAGUAAUGCUUCUGUCGCAGUGGUCUGCUCUCCAGAUGGCCGUCCAUAACGAGUGGGGUGGUCGUCAGUCUAGCCAGCUUGCCGACCAACUCGCCCUCGACAUCUUCUCCUGGUUCACACACUCCAGGGAGCCGCUUUACAUUGAUGAUUUGGAAAAUAUACUUGAUGAAGCUAUGCUUUCGCUCAACACCAUGACUGAGGACGGCAGCAUUGAGGAGGUAGCUGAAAAAUUAAUGACUAUGCAUGAAGAAUGUUUGGAAGGUAAUUAUCAGUCAAUUGAAAAACUAAGGGAAGCCGGUUCCCGGCCAGCUGUUCAUCAUAUUAGACAGGCUGUUAAUGAGGACAAUGAUGAUGAUGAUGAUGACGACGACGACAAUGAUGAGAACAUGGGGAAUGAUAAUUCAUCAAACAUGAUUGUGGAUGCACCAGAAGCCCCCCCACCAAAUUUAAAUCCAGCAGAGAUGCCGGUAGAGGAGCCAAGGGCCUCAAACCCAAAGGUUGCUGAAGCAGAUGAUGGAUGGGUGGUAGUUGCCUCCAAGCGGAAUAGGGUUGCAAAAGCUGAUGGGUUCAACACCGGUAGAUCUUGCCAGGUCUAAAUUGGCUAAAAGUGGUCAAAUAAGUAGAAAUGCACUCUGCCCAUGUGGUUCCAAAAAGAGAUACAAGCGGUGCUGCGGAAAGGAUUGAAGAUUUUAAAGAAGAGAUACAUGAAAACCUUACUCUGACCUUGAUAUGGGAGAGAUUUUCUGAGAUUGUACAAAUUCAUUUGCUGUUUCAAAUGGCAUCUUGUUAGAGCCUUUUGGUUAAUUUGCUACAUGGACACUGGCUGCAAAGGUGUUUUAAAUUUUGCGUUCAUGGACUAGACUGUCUACAUGCUGGUUAAUUAACCUGAUUAAGUGCUUGUAUUUAUGCAGGCUGUUGUUUUUGCUUCCAUGGAGUAUAUGGUCUAUAGGCCAGCUAAGCAAUUGAGUGGCUUGUAUUUAUACAUUGUUCUGGUCAUGAAAUUCAGGCAGAACAAAUUUUACUAAUAAAAUGCAUGAAGUCUCUCUUCACCCUUUUAAGUGGUUGAUAUUUA